AAAAAAAAAAAACUGAAACAAAGAAAUCGAAGAAGAAGAAAAAGAGAAAGAGACGGAGAAAUUCGAGAGAGAAGUAGAAAGAAGUUCAAAAUUCAUUAUCCACUCCUUCAUAUUUUGACAUCUCUCUAUUGAACUCCAAAAUUGAGGAACAAAUUUCUUAUUUUCAGAGAUAAACAAAAUGCAAAAAAAAAGCUCAUAGAUUCAAACACUUUAGCUUUUUAAACUAAAGAUACUCUAGGUUUACAAGAUUUAUUUAUAAAUAAUAAUCAAAACGUAAAAAAAUGAGAUUUUGAGAAAACUGAUAAAGACGGCCGCAAAAUUAGGUUUGCAGAAAAGGAUACACAGGUUGAAGAUGACUGGAAAAUUACAAUUAUACCCUUCAUCGAAUUUUUUCUGUGUACGUAUAUUUAAUUUACAGUGUACGUACACAAAAUUAUUUAUUAGAACGUAUAUGGGACGAUUUCUAAUAACUCAAACUAUUUUAUUACGUAUUCUUAUAUCUCAAUAAUCUCAAUACAUACAUAAUAAUUAAAUAAAAAUAGAUGGUGAAAUAAUGUACGUACAUUUUUGUUGGUAAAUUAAUGUAUGUACAUGUGUAAUAAUAUACGUACAUCUUUGUUUGUACAUUAAAUUAUUAAG
rnacentral:sRNA from 1 species